rnacentral:piRNA from 1 species
CACCUUGUCAAAAUCCUCUCCUC